rnacentral:lncRNA from 1 species
AUGAAUUGAGAGCCUUCCGGAGAGAUCUAAGAAAGAGAGAAAAAGAGAAAGAAUCUUCUUGUUCCUUGUAAUCUCAUCUGUAUAAGCUCUGUAAAUUUCAUCUGGUAUCAUCAAUUACGCUUUUUCUGUGGCUUCUCCCGUGGAUGUAGAUUGUGCAUUCAUGCACAAUUGAACCACGUUAAACCUUUCUUGUGGUGUGUGUUUUGUUUCCAUUUCAGUUCCGAUUUCAUAUUCUUUAAUCUCCUUUAACCUAUAGCUGAGGAUUUUUUAGACAUUGAAAGCAUCAGAUCAAUUGUUGAUUCACAGUACAACUUGUAUAGAUCUUGACAAGGUUCUUGGGCAGUGGCAGUUUGCCUCAAGGAACUAAGGUAAUCAGAUCACUACAGCUAGCGUUUAGAUCAUUGUAUAUUUGUGUUGGUUUGGUUUCCGCAUGAAAUGUAUAUUCAUCAAAUUCACAAUGCAUGUAAGCAGUCCGUUUAUAGUUUAUAAAGAUUUUUCGGCUCAUAAUUUCUUCAAGAUUUUUGGAUCAAUGCUUCCUCAGCAGUAGUAAAUUUUUGCUGAAUUAUUUUCGGAAAAUUUUUCUGCAACUAGCUUAUUCUGAAAUCUCUUCAGUCUUAUGAGGCUGGAAAGACAGCAUCAAGUGUUGGAGGUGAACAAGAAGCGAACUUUGAAAAAAGCAAAAGAGACAGAACAAGGGAUUGUGAACAGGGUAAGGUGUCCUUUUCCUGAUAUAAUUGAAGUACGACUUCAAAGGAUGAAUGCGUUGAGUAGACACUUUUUCCUUCGAAAUGAUAUCUAAACUAUGCUGCUAAAUGGUUUUAGUGUUAUAAAACUUUGGAAAUGAGUUACAUUUUAGCCUCGAUUCUCUGAUUUUUUAUAUGUCUUUCCAUUCUCACAGUUUUAUGAAGAACUUGUAGAAAUAAAUAAAAGCCUUUGUUGUUAAUACUAACAGCAAAAUGUGUUGUGAAUUCGGCUUUGAUAAGACUAACCAAAUUCUCCCCAAGACACUAAUUCUGUAUCAAUGGUUUGAAGAAUUAACAGCACAGAUUAUCCAGCAACAAUCACACACAAGAAUCAAAGCGUUAAAGAAACAAAGAGGACACCAAAUAUAAGUGGUUCAACACCAAGAAGUGGUGCCUACAUCCACUGGAAACAAAGCAACAGUCUUUCACUAAUUGAGAUCACAAACUUUACAAGAAUAGAAUUCGAUUUACAGAGAACAAGAACUUGUUAACCCCUUUCUCUCUCUAUCUUUUUCUCUACUCUCAGUGUUUCCCGAAUCAUCAUGUGUAGAUGAUGACUAAACCUACACCUUUUAACCUCUGUUUUCUGGGUUGCUAACUACCAUUCCCGCCAAAUCUAUUCAAGGAGCUCUACCUCACGUGCUUGACACAAGCUGGAACAAGUGCGUUUAAGAAACGGCACUCGGAGAUGUCGUUUCUUGAUCCAAGCAAAGAGUUAGCUUCAAUACACGUGCAAACCACAUGUAUUACUUAAGACAGAAUGACAGCUGAGAUUAUGUCGGUUCUGGCUUCAAGAACUCCACAAGUGACAAGUCAUCCGAGACUGAAUCCUCUAAACGACUUGUAGUACUUGAGUUUCGAGUUCACUGUUUAUCAGUCUCCACCUUGAACUCAGAACUCUAGCUACUCCUAUAUACUUUAUUCCCUUUCCUUUGCAGCUGAUCAGAAACUGCAAAUUCUUGCAAGGCUCAAACAAAAGUUGAGCUUGGCAGAAGGCACAGCUUUAGUCAACAUAUCGGCUGGAUUUUGAUCAGUGUGAACCUUGAGCAUCUUCACAGUUCCCUUUGAAACUUCAAGUCUUACAAAAUGAAGCUGCUUUACAUCGAUAUGUUUUGUUCUUUCAUGAUGGGUCUGGUUCUUACUUAAAUGUAUUACACUCUGGCUAUCACAAUAUACUUCAACUGUUUUUUGUUUUGCUCCUAACUCUGAGACCAUUCCUUUUAACCAGAUGGCUUCCUUAAAAGCUUCUGCAACUGUUGUAUAUUCGACUUCAGUUGUGGACAAAGCUACCACACUUUGCAGAGUAGCUUUCCAGUUCACAGUGCAGCCUCCCAAAGUGAAUAUAAAACCUGUCUGAGACCUCCUUUUAUCAAGAUCUCCAGCGAAGUCUGAGUCAACAUACCCCACCAGCUUGUGCCCUUCCUGUUUUAACCCUCCAUAUAGCAGACCAAACUCUAUAGUGCCUUUCAGGUACCUCAUUAUCCACUGGACUGCCCUCCAAUGCUCAUAACCUGGAUUUUCCAUGAAUCUACUCACUAUACUCACAGCAUGUGAGAUAUCAGGUCUAGUGAGAACCAUGGCAUACAUGAGGCUCCCAACUGCACUGGAGUAAGGUAUCCUUGCCAUUUUUCUUGCUCUGCAUCAAUUUGUGGACACUGUGCAGCAGACAGCUUGAAGUGAUUUGCCAAAGGUGUUUGAACAGACUUGGAUUCAUGCAUCCCAAAUCUAAGCAACACCUUCUUAACAUAGCUCUGUUGGGUUAAAAACAUAAGCUUCCUUCUCCUGUCUCUGAUAAUUUCCAUACCUAAGAUCUUCCUUGCAGCUUCAAGAUCUUUCAUAUCGAAUUCACUGCUCAAGAGAUUCUUUAAAUGACUGAUUUCAUCUAUGCUGUGACAUGCUAUAAGCAUGUCAUCCACAUACAGCAUAACAUAAAUCAUCUUUCCAUCACCAAUGUCCCUAAAGUACACGCAACAAUCAUAAUUGCAUCUCUUGUAGGCAUGUUUUGUCAUAAAACUGUCAAACUUCAAGUACCAUUGCCUAGGAGACUGCUUUAAUCCAUAUAAAGAUUUCUUUAGUAAGCACACAUGAUCUUCCUUACCCGACACCACAUACCCCUCAGGCUGUUCCAUUACAAUUUCUUCUUGUAAUUCACCAUGCAGGAAUGUUGUUUUAACAUCCAUCUGCUCCAGGUACAUGUCUUGAAUGGCAACUAAAGCUAAGAUGACUCUGAUGGAGGCAUGUUUCACAACUGGAGAGAAGAUUUCAUUGAAAUCAAUCCCCUCUCUUUGUGUAAAGCCUCUUGCUACCAGCCUAGCUUUAAACCUACUAGGUUCAGCAUCAGAUAUACCUUCCUUAACUUUGAAGAUCCAUUUGAAGCUAACAGUCUUCCUUUUUUCUGGUCUAACUAUCAGCUUCCAAGUUCCAUUUUUCAUUAGUGAUUCAAUUUCCUCAUCCAUAGCCUCCUUCCACUUCAGCUUAUCCCUGCUAUUUAUAGCUUCUUUAUAGGUUCUUGGCUCUUCCUCAUUUACCUCUUGUGCAGCUAUUAAUGCAUAAGCUAUCAAAUCUGCUACUGUAUACCUCUUAGGUGGUCUUACAGCUCUCCUCUUUCUAUCCCUGACCAACUGAUAAGAAUUAUCUUCAUUCUCAGCUGGCUCUGACUCCUGAACAACAUCAGAUCCAUCAGUAACCCUUUCUAAAUCUCCUUCAGUUUCUGAUUCAGUCCUAUCUUGUUCAUGGGACUCCACCUCAAACUGAACAAUCCCAGGUCUUAUUUUUGAUAUAUGAUCUUUGGAUUCAGUGGUUUUGGAUUUGUUUAAGAUUUCUGACUCAUUGAAAGUUACAUCCCUGCUGAUAAUGCAUUUUGGUGGCUUCAGAUCAAUGCACCAUAGCCUAUAGCCUUUAACUCCAUCAGGGUAUCCCAGAAAUCUACACCUUAAAGCUCUUGGCUCUAAUUUGCCUUGUUUGACAUGUGCAUAAGCAACACAGCCAAAGAUUCUCAGUUUAGAGUAAUCUGCAACCCUUCCAGACCAUAGCUCGAUAGGUGUUUUACAUUCUAUUGCUGUAGAUGGACUUCUAUUUACCAAGUAACAUGUUGUGUUUAAGGCCUCUGCCCAGAGUGACUUAGGCAGCUUUGAGUAUAGCAGUAUACACCUCACCUUGUCCAUUAAGGUUCUGUUCAUUCUCUCAGCAAGACCAUUUUGCUGAGGUGUGUGUAUGACUGUUUUAUGCCUCAUAAUCCCAUGUCUUUCACAGAAAUCUCCAAACUCUUUGUUGCAGAAUUCCAAUCCAUUAUCUAUUCUUAGAGCUUUUACUUUCAAACUUGUCUGUGUUUCUACCAGAAUUUUCCACCUCUUAAACCUUUCCAAAACUUCAUCUUUGGUUUUGAGUACAUACACCCAAACCAUCCUUGAAUAGUCAUCUAUUAAGGAUAAGAAAUACCUACAGCCACCAAGAGAAUCUACUUGUGCAGGCCCCCACAGAUCAAACUUGAGCCUGAAAGCCUUCCCUAGGAUACAGUCUUCACAGAACCCCAAAGAACUCAGCUUGUCACUUCCAAACACCCCCUUCUUUUGAAGCUCCUUCAGUCCCCUUUCACUCAUAUGCCCCAACCUCAAGUGCCAUAAUCUUGCUUUGUCUUCACUCUUCUCAGUGACACUUGCCUCUCCAACAGUUGUAUGUCCAUUCAGCACAUACAAACCAUUUUGCUUGGUACUUUUCAUUAUGACUAUUGAGCCUCUGAUAACUUUCAAUGACCCAUUUUCAGCCUUAAUGACACAUCCAGUUUGAUCAAGCAUGCCAAUAGAUAUUAGGUUCUUUUUAAGCUUAGGAACAUGCCUAACCUGAGUUAGUUCUCUAACCAUGCCAUCAUACAUCUUAAGGCUUACAAUCCUAAUCCCAAUUACUUUACAAACUGAAUUAUUUCCCAUCAGCACCAUACCCCCAUCACAUGACUGAUAUGUAGUAAAGUAAUUUCUAUUUGGACUCAUAUGAAAAGUACAUCCAGAGUCUAGUACCCACUGACCUUGAGUUUUUUCUUUUGUGGCAAUGAAGACUUCAGCUGUCUCAAAAUUGGUUUCUUCCGUGGCUAUUGCUGCAUUUCCAUAUUUGUCUUUUGAUUCCUUUUCCUUUGUUUUUCUCUCAGGGCAAUCCCUCUUGAAAUGCCCUUCUUUAUGGCAAUGAAAACACUUCAAAUGUUUUUGCUUUGACUUUGAUCUCCCUUGCUUCUUUCCUUUGUACUCCCUUUUUUCAGAUCUUCCCCUUACCAUCAACCCUUCACUUGAUUCACUCUCUGAGUUAUCUUGUUUGUCUUUUAACUUCUUGGUACCAAGAGCAGAUUUAACCUCUUCCAAGGAGAGUGAUUGCCUUCCAUAUAACAAGGCAUCCACAAAAUGUUCAUAUGAUUUUGGUAAAGAACUGAUUAAUAGCAAGGCCUUGCUAUCAUCACUCAGUCCUUCAUCAAUUGUUUUCAGUUCAUUACAAACUUUAUUAAACUCAUCUAUGUGUUCAUCAAGUGAUGCUCCUUCAAUCAUCCUCAGUGAGAACAUCUUUUUCUUGAUGUAUAGCCUGUUUGCUAAGGACUUUGUCAUAUACAAUUGUUCCAGUUUUGCCCAGAGUCCAGCAACAGUCUUUUCUUUAACAACUUCCCUUAUCACUGAGUCACCAAGACUGAGGAUGAUGGUGCUUCUUGCCUUUUUGUCGAUCUCAGCCAUCUGUUCUGGAGUUCUUGAAGAAGAGGCUUCUGCAUUUCCACUCUUGAUGACGGGAUCAAUGGCAUCUCCCAGACCUUGUGUGAUUAACAAUGCUUUCAUCUUGAUCCUCCACAUAUUGAAAUCAUUCUGACCCGUGAACUUCUCAAGAUCCACCUUGUUAGUCAUUUCUUGAACCUUGAUGCAGAAAAUAGGGCUCUGAUACCAAUUUGUUGUGAAUUCGGCUUUGAUAAGACUAACCAAAUUCUCCCCAAGACACUAAUUCUGUAUUAAUGGUUUGAAGAAUUAACAGCACAGAUUAUCCAGCAACAAUCACACACAAGAAUCAAAGCAUUAAAGAAACAAAGAUGACACCAAAUAUAAGUGGUUCAGCACCAAGAAGUGGUGCGUACAUCCACUGGAAACAAAGCAACAGUCUUUCACUAAUUGAGAUCACAAACUUUACAAGAAUAGAAUUCAAUUCACAGAGAACAAGAACUUGUUAACCCCUUUCUCUCUCUAUCUUUUUCUCUACUCUCAGUGUUUCCCGAAUCAUCAUGUGUAGAUGAUGACUAAACCUGCACCUUUUAACCUCUGUUUUCUGGGUUGCUAACUACCAUUCCUGCCAAAUCUAUUCAAGGAUCUCUACCUCACGUGCUUGACACAAGCUGGAACAAGUGUGUUUAAGAAACGGCACUCGGAGAUGUCGUUUCUUGAUCCAAGCAAAGAGUUAGCUUCAAUACACGUGCAAACCACGUGUAUUACUUAAGACAGAAUGACAGUUGAGAUUAUGUCGGUUCUGGCUUCAAGAACUCCACAAGUGACAAGUCAUCCGAGAUUGAAUCCUCUAAACGACUUGUAGUACUUGAGUUUUGAGUUCACUGUUUAUCAAAAUGCUUCUUACAUCAGUGCAUCUUUAUGAGUGAUAAUAGUAGCUAUAUAGGAAGAAAUGUUGAAUUAGUUAGAUACCUCUGUCAGGUUGAUGGCAUUCUUAAUCUCAGUGCGUCAAUUAGCAACCAUUUUGUUGAUAGCCAUUGUGCAUUGAUUCAAUAAAUGAUAAUAUUCUUGAAUUUCAUUUUGUAAGAUCACCAUUUUGGUUUUAAAUGUUACUUUGUAAGAUAUCUAUUUGAAAUUGUAUGAUGAUGAAAGUAUUGGGGUAUGCAACCCUAGAACAAGUGCCGCAUCAGGCGAUGAUCGGAGAGCUGCAUUCAAUGCUGCUGCCAAUGGACCUGUAAGCCAUCGCAGCUACUCUCGGUCUGCGUCCAAUGGUCACAGCCGACAUUAUAAUGAUCGGCCGAGAAUGGUGAUGUGAGAUCUAGUUCAAACUUCGACAAUCGUCGUACUCCUAAUCGGGUGCCACCGCCGCCAUCAACACGGUCCGGCUCUAAGUACUUCUAGUUGACUUACAGAUUUUGGUUGACAAUUCAUAUUUUCACUGCAUAUUUUUAGUAUUUUCACUACAUAUUUUCAGUGAGUAAAGCCUUGCUUAACCACUCAGUGACUCCGGUACUUGGUUUAAAAAUCACUUUGUUAGAAUUUCUAGAAGAGGGUGUUUUGUGGACAUAGGACUCUAUAGUUCCUGAAUGUCAG